rnacentral:lncRNA from 1 species
ACAGAAUACCUAACUGCAAGAACUGCCGCAUCCCUGGUGGUCUGACCUUGUCUCUGAGCUAAGCAGCAGAUUUCAGCCACAGCGUCUGACUCUCAGGCAGACACAUCCUGUCCAAGGACUGGAGACAGAGCAUCCGUUCUCCCACCCAGAGCGGUCAGCUGCAUGUGGCUGGUUGGGGGGCGGUUCAGGUUAGUUAGUUAUUGAUAUCCUGUGUUAAGAUUCCUGCCUUGGCGGCACUGAAGGGAUCCGGGAGGCAGUGACUUCACUCACUCGACUCAAAUUGCAAUCAGCCAGCCUCUUGGCUCAGGCAUUCAUCUACCCAGAACUAUUUUUGGUGUGUGUUCAUAGACAGCACACACCAAAGUAUUUGGUAUUUGAGAUGCAAGCACUAAGGAUGAUUAAAGUUAGUUGCUAAUGAGCAUGCCUAGAAUAGAUAUACUCUGUGUGUAUGCGUGUGUGUGUGCGCGCGCUCCAUGUGUGUGCUCUGUUGCGUGUCUACAAAGCAGAUGUCUACACACCUGCCCUUAGGUGACCUCACCAAUGUCCAUGAACUGGUGCUGCUAGAUCAGCUAAGAGGUCCCUGGACGGAAGACGGAAAUGGAUAACAAUUGACCUGUCUCAAAAUACUGCCUUACUGGGUACCCAUGCUCCCCCAUCAGAAUCCAAUCUACCUUUCAAC